UUCCCUUCAGCCGCCAUCUUGUUUUUUGGAGCAAAGUUUCUUGAAGGAGCAACUUUAUCGUCUUUUUACUCCAUUUUCUCGACGAAUUAAGGCUCUGCUUUAAAGAUGACGUCUCUAGGAGAUACCAAGCUACGUAAUAUUGGAAAUUAUGUUGCUGCUAAUGCGUCUGUGACUAAUGUUUGGCGAGGAAUGUCGCGAGUGUGGAACAGUUACAGAGCCAAGUAUGUGACGUGCAAAAAUGCUAGGAUGACCCCUUUUUGGCAUGCUGUAAUGUUGGCAGUGGCUGUGAAUUACGCUAUUGAUUAUUCUCACAUUAAAGCCCAUUCACUGAACAGAAAAUACCAUUGAUGGAUGGAUAUUCAACUGGAUUGUGGUUUAUUAAACAAACUUUUCAAGACUUGGAUCAAGAACUGAAACAGUGUUACAGUGAAUGACUACGUUUUCAUGCAAGUUUAUGUAUCAAAUUGUGUUAAUGGCUUGAAUAAAGUUUUACAUACUGUAGA